GCAGCCGGAGCGCCUGGGCGCGCAGCGCCUGCUCGUUCUUGCCGGACAGCACGAUCGGGACCAGGGGCGGCUCGGUCCGCUCCGGCUCGGGCUCGCCGCUC
rnacentral:tRNA from 1 species